AUCAGUAAUGAUGGGUAGGGGAGCUUCCCAUACGGGUUGAAGCAUGACCGUAAGGACAUGUGGACAGUAUGGGAGUGAGAAUGUUGGCAUGAGUAGCGAGAUGUGGGUGAGAAUCCCACAGGCCGUACACCCAAGGUUUCCAGGGGAAGGUUCGUCCGCCCUGGGUUAGUCGGGACCUAAGCUGAGGCCGAAAGGCGUAGGUGAUGGACAACAGGUUGAUAUUCCUGUACUACCGAUAACC
rnacentral:rRNA from 1 species